rnacentral:rRNA from 1 species
AUUAAACGCUGGCGGCAUGCCUUACACAUGCAAGUCGAACGGCAGCACGGGGGCAACCCUGGUGGCGAGUGGCGGACGGGUGAGUAAUGCAUCGGAACGUGCCCUGAAGUGGGGGAUAACGCAGCGAAAGCUACGCUAAUACCGCAUAUUCUGUGAGCAGGAAAGCAGGGGAUCGCAAGACCUUGCGCUUUGGGAGCGGCCGAUGUCGGAUUAGCUAGUUGGUGGGGUAAAGGCCUACCAAGGCGACGAUCCGUAGCGGGUCUGAGAGGAUGAUCCGCCACACUGGGACUGAGACACGGCCCAGACUCCUACGGGAGGCAGCAGUGGGGAAUUUUG